GCCCGGCCGCCAGCGUCCGCACCGCGGCGGUGACACGCGCUCCCGUGCCGAACGAGCCGCCGGCAGAGUGAGGCCCGUGGUGGCGCCGAGGGACGUGGAUCGGACGGCGGCGCGCGGGCGGCGGCGUCCCUCAGCCGGGCUGGGAUCGCUCCAGACGUGCUGACCUUUUUACCAAGAUCUUUAAACCACUCUUCGAACGAUCUUCUGAAGCCAGUGAACGGCAAUCACGAUCAAGAGGAUGAUACCACUCGGAUAUCGGAUAUCGAACGAGAUAUCAAGAUGAGCAGGAGCAGCCUGUCCAAUUCAUGUUUGCUGAGAUCAGAUUAUUUUCAAGUCACCUAAUAUGUUCAAAGUGUGCAGUAACGCGCUGGGCAUGAUGCCGAUGCACUCUGACGACGACCUGAUGUCGUGGCUGACGACGCAGCUCGACUACCAGGCGG